UCCACCAUAAUAUCUCAGUCUCACACCUCGCGGGCUAGCCGUAGUAGUGAUUUGCAGCUCCCGCUGAAGCUGCUGACAGCACCAUUCUGUAAUCGCGCAAAUUUCUCUUCUUCUUCUUCUUCUUCUUCUUCUUCUUCUUCUUCUUCUUCACUUUCAUUGUAAGAGUGUCAUGAAGCAUAGAGGAUCAUCAUCUAGCUUUAGCUGAAAAUAUAAACUUUAACCAGUAGAAGAGCAACAGAAGAGGAAAGCUAAUGGCUUUCUCAACAGCUAAAUUCACAGAACUUCGUCUCCACAAUUCGAUCCAAAUACGCUCACACCAUUCUCUUGGUCUCUUGUUUUCUUCGAAGCCUUCGUUAUCCAUAGUUAGUCGCUUCUCCUCCACUUCUUCUCUCAGAACCAGCGAACGCAGCGACCGUGCUGACGAUCGAUGGAGCCCUAGGAGCAGGCGUUAUCCAUGGGACGAUGACAAUCCUAGAAGAAACCCCACCGUUUCUGACAAAUCCAGGACUCCUUCUGCUCCUUGGCUCAACAAAUGGCCCUCUGUUAACCCUCCUAUCGGAGCUGUCAAUCGAAUUGCCGACUCAGAGAAACAGCGUAAGGUGGAGGACCCGGUGGAGAGUCGAUACUUCGACGGAGAUAAAGGGAGAAGUGCAAUUGAGAGGAUUGCCCAUCGAUUGCGAAAUCUGGGGUUAGGCUCCGAUGAUGAAGACGAGGAGGUUGGUGGGGAGAGUAACGAGGAAAUGCCGCUCAGUGGUGAAGAGAAAUUGGGGGACUUGUUGAAACGGACUUGGAGUAGGCCUGAUUCAAUUCUUCAUGAAGAUGAAGAUGAGAAAGGAAAGAUGCUUUUGCCGUGGGAAAGGGAUGAAGACGACCAGAGCGAGGAAGAGGACGGAAGGGGAUUGAAAAAGAAGAAGAGAGUGAAAGCGCCAACAUUGGCAGAAUUGACAAUUGAGGAUGCAGAGUUGAGGAGGUUGAGGACUCUUGGGAUGACGCUUAGGGAAAGGGUUAAUAUACCGAAAGCAGGUGUUACCCAGGUGAUUCUCGAGAAGAUUCAUGAGAAGUGGAGGAAGUCGGAAUUGGUGAGGCUCAAGUUCCAUGAGACGCUUGCACAUGAUAUGAAGACUGCCCUUGAAAUUGUUGAGCGCCGAACAGGAGGACUGGUUAUAUGGAGAUCAGGAAGCAUUAUGGUGGUGUAUCGGGGAAGUAACUAUGAACCUUUUUCAAGACUUAAGACUGUUGAAAGUGAAGGCAAUGCUCUUUUUGUCCCAGAUGUUUCAUCUUCUGCCAAUUCAAUUUCAAAGAUCAAUAAUGAUAUUAUGUCAGCUCCAGAAAAGAAAGAUCCAGGUGUUCAGAAUCCAAAUCAAGCUGAAAGCAUGACAGAAGAGGAAGCAGAAUAUAACAGCCUGCUAGAUGGGUUAGGUCCUCGCUUUGUUGAUUGGUGGGGUACUGGAAUUUUACCAGUUGAUGCUGACUUGCUUCCUCAAACUAUUCCUAGCUACAAGACACCCUUUAGACUUCUCCCAACAGGAAUGAGACCACGACUGACAAAUGCAGAGAUGACCAAUUUAAGGAAGCUUGCCAAAUCACUUCCUUGUCAUUUUGCCCUUGGGAGAAACAGAAAUCAUCAGGGUUUGGCAGCUGCAAUUGUGAAACUCUGGGAUAAAAGCCUUGUUGCAAAGAUUGCUGUCAAGCGUGGUAUUCAAAAUACAAACAACAAAUUGAUGGCUGAGGAGCUAAAGAAAUUAACAGGUGGUGUCUUACUGCUUAGAAACAAGUAUUACAUUGUCAUAUACCGCGGGAAAGAUUUCCUCCCAACAAGUGUGGCUUUUGCCUUAGCAGAAAGACAGGAAUUGACAAAAGAAAUUCAAGAUGUUGAAGAGAAGGCACGCAGUGGAGCAGUUGUAUCUGCCCAUGUGGAAGAAAUUGGAGGACAAGCACUUGCAGGCACUUUGUCUGAAUAUCGUGAAGCUCAAGCUCGAUGGGGAAGAGAAAUAUCUGCUGAGGAACAUGAAAAGAUGAAAGAAGAAGCUUCAAGGGCCAAGAAUGCCAAGGCAGUCAAGCGAAUAGAACAUAAACUAACUGUUGCACAAGCUAAAAAAUUAAGAGCAGAAAAAUUGUUAGCAAAGAUAGAAAAAUCCAUGGUUCCGGUUGGUCCUUCUGAUGACCAAGAAACAAUUACUGAUGAAGAACGGUUUAUGUUCCGGAGGGUUGGUUUGAGAAUGAAAGCAUAUUUACCUCUUGGCAUACGUGGUGUUUUUGAUGGAGUAAUUGAAAACAUGCACUUACAUUGGAAGCAUAGGGAACUUGUGAAACUGAUAUCCAAGCAGAAGACUCUUUCCUUUGUUGAAGACACAGCAAGGUUGUUAGAGUAUGAGAGUGGUGGCAUAUUGGUAGCAAUUGAAAGAGUCCCUAAAGGUUAUGCUCUUAUUUAUUAUCGUGGAAAGAAUUAUCAACGACCCAUUAGUUUGAGACCAAGGAACCUUCUGACAAAGGCAAAAGCAUUAAAGCGUUCAGUUGCCAUGCAGCGCCAUGAGGCACUCAGUCAGCACAUAACUGAAUUGGAGAGAACAAUUGAGCAGAUGAAAUCAGAAAUUGGUAUGUCUAAAGAUGUAGAUUAUGAAGACACCUGGAGUGAAGAGGAUCCAAGAAGAUUUGAUAAUGUUUCAGCAUUCACUGAGAGUGAAGAUGAAGGUUCCUCUAUGGAGGAUGAUGGUGAUGAGGAUGAUGUGGAUGUUGAGUGGGAAGAUGAUGAUGAGUCAGAUUUUUAGAGAGCUAUUCUAGCCAUGAUCUUUGUAGCAAGGAGAGUUGGAGCAUUUUCUUUUGAAAUUCUUUUCCAAAGCUGCCGAGAAGAAGAAAGUGCUUUCUUCUGGGGCUACAGGACUUCUAAAAUGGUGCUUGCCCCAACUCGCAAUGCGUUCCACACUUGAAGAUUAAGAACCACCAUCGAAUGGCUCCCAUUGUGGACACUAACUUGGUCAGAAGUCAACUUGGAGCAUAUUAUAAUUUAUAAGAUACAUGCUUCUUUUCUCUUUUGUCUAUUAAUGUCUAAAGUACGUAUUUUUACUCCAGAAGAUUUGGGCUGUCGGAAUGAUGUUCUACUUAGAAAGUUCCAGAAGUAAUGCAUUGCUCUGAUGUUUUAGUCAA